AAGAAGGCCUUCGGGUUGUAAAGCACUUUUGUUCGGGAAGAAAUCGUUCUGGUUAAUACCUGGGGCGGAUGACGGUACCGGAAGAAUAAGCACCGGCUAACUACGUGC
rnacentral:rRNA from 1 species